rnacentral:rRNA from 1 species
UACGGAGGAUCCAAGCGUUAUCCGGAUUUAUUGGGUUUAAAGGGUGCGUAGGCGGCCUAUUAAGUCAGGGGUGAAAGACGGUAGCUUAACUAUCGCAGUGCCCUUGAUACUGAUGGGCUUGAAUGUACUAGAGGUAGGCGGAAUGUGACAAGUAGCGGUGAAAUGCAUAGAUAUGUCACAGAACACCAGUGGCGAAGGCGGCUCACUGGCCCGGUACUGACGCUGAGGUGCGAAAGCGUGGGGAGCAAACAGG